rnacentral:lncRNA from 1 species
UGUAGAAGCUCGUCCGGAAUCCCCUUGCCACAGAGUAGCUCGGCUGAGGUCUACCUGUAAUAGCAGUUCGGAAAAAUUUUGUUCAUAGUAGAGGCUCGAAUGGAAUUUGCUUACAUUAGACGUUUGGGGUAGACAGCCCGCUGUAGGAGUUCGGAGUAGACCGUUCGUAGUAGAAAUUCGGAGUAGGUCGCUUGUAAUAG